CCUACGGGAGGCAGCAGUGGGGAAUAUUGCACAAUGGGGGAAACCCUGAUGCAGCGACGCCGCGUGAGUGAAGAAGUAAUUCGUUACGUAAAGCUCUAUCAGCAGGGAAGAAAAUGACGGUACCUGAGUAAUACGCCCCGGCUAACUAGGUGCCAGCAGCCGCGGUAAUACGUAGGGGGCAAGCGUUAUCCGGCUUUACUGGGUGGAAAGGGAGCGUAGACGGUGCGCCCAGUCUGGAGUGAAAUGCCGCAGCUUAACUGCGGAACUGCUUUGGAGACUGGCGAACUAGAGUGCGGGAGGGGUAAGCGGAAGUCCGAGGGUAGAGGUGAAAUGCGUAGAGAUGAGGAGGAACACCGGUGGCGAAGGCGGCUUACUGGACCGUAACUGACGUUGAGGCUCGAAAGCGUGGGGAGCAAACAGGAUUAGAUACCCUUGUAGUC
rnacentral:rRNA from 1 species